GAUGAACGCUGGCGGCGUGCCUAAUACAUGCAAGUCGAGCGAACAGACGAGGAGCUUGCUCCUCUGACGUUAGCGGCGGACGGGUGAGUAACACGUGGAUAACCUACCUAUAAGACUGGGAUAACUUCGGGAAACCGGAGCUAAUACCGGAUAAUAUAUUGAACCGCAUGGUUCAAUAGUGAAAGACGGUUUUGCUGUCACUUAUAGAUGGAUCCGCGCCGCAUUAGCUAGUUGGUAAGGUAACGGCUUACCAAGGCAACGAUGCGUAGCCGACCUGAGAGGGUGAUCGGCCACACUGGAACUGAGACACGGUCCAGACUCCGACGGGAGGCAGCAGUAGGGAAUCUUCCGCAAUGGGCGAAAGCCUGACGGAGCAAAGCCGCGUGAGUGAUGAAGGUCUUCGGAUCGUAAAACUCUGUUAUUAGGGAAGAACAAAUGUGUAAGUAACUAUGCACGUCUUGACGGUACCUAAUCAGAAAGCCACGGCUAACUACGUG
rnacentral:rRNA from 1 species